UACAACAUUGUGUUAAUUCAUCAGAUCCCAUUAGAACUCUGCAGUUAAGUGCACUUAGGCUAGAGUAGUACUGGGAUGGGUGACCACCUGGGAAGUCCUAGUGUUUUAC
rfam:Picea glauca, whole genome shotgun sequence.